AACGUAGGAGACGAGCGUUAUCCGGAUUUACUGGGCGUAAAGGGCGUGCAGGCGGUUUGUUUAGUCUAGGGUGAAAGCUCCCGGUUAACUGGGAGAGGUCCUUGGAUACUGGCAAACUUGAGGGAGGCAGAGGAAAGUGGAAUUCCCGGUGUAGUGGUGAUAUGCGUAGAUAUCGGGAGGAACACCAGUGGCGAAGGCGGCUUUCUGGGCCUUACCUGACGCUGAGACGCGAAAGCUAGGGGAGCAAACGGG
rnacentral:rRNA from 1 species